CCUACGGGCGGCAGCAGUAGGGAAUAUUGCUCAAUGGGGGAAACCCUGAAGCAGCAACGCCGCGUGGAGGAUGAAGGUUUUCGGAUUGUAAACUCCUUUUGUUAGAGACGAUAAUGACGGUAUCUAACGAAUAAGCACCGGCCAACUCCGUGCCAGCAGCCGCGGUAAUACGGAGGGUGCAAGCGUUACUCGGAAUCACUGGGCGUAAAGAGCGCGUAGGCGGGAUAGCAAGUCAGAUGUGAAAUCCUAUGGCUUAACCAUAGAACUGCAUUUGAAACUGUUAUUCUAGAGUAUGGGAGAGGUAGGUGGAAUUCUUGGUGUAGGGGUAAAAUGCGUAGAGAUCAAGAGGAAUACUCAUUGCGAAGGCGACCUGCUAGAACAUAACUGACGCUGAUGCGCGAAAGCGUGGGGAGCAAACAGGAUUAGAUACCCCAGUAGUC
rnacentral:rRNA from 1 species